rnacentral:rRNA from 1 species
GGGUAACGCGGGGGAGGACGGGGGGGGAGAACGGAGUGGGGAAGCGGUAAUGUGAAUGACGGGGCGUAAAGGGGAGGCAGGCUGUCAAUUAAGUCAGAUGUGAAAGCCGCGUGCGUAACUUGGGAGUUGCAUCUGAAACUGGGUGGCUAGAGGCUUGUAGAGGGGGGUAGAAUUCCAUGUGUAGCGGUGAAAUGCGUAGAGAUGUGGAGGAAUACCGGUGGCGAAGGCGGCCCCCUGGACAAAGACUGACGCUCAGGUGCGAAAGCGUGGGGAGCAAACAGGAUUAGAUACCGUGUAGUC